rnacentral:rRNA from 1 species
AUUGAACGCUGGCGGCGUGCUUUACACAUGCAAGUCGAGCGGCAGCAUGGGGGCAACCCUGAUGGCGAGCGGCGGACGGGUGAGUAAAAUAUCGAGACGUGCCUAGUAGGGGGGGAUAACUCAUCGAAAGAUGAGCUAAUACCGCAUAAUCUCUGAGGAGGAAAGGUGGGGACUGGAGACGGCCUGCCGUUAUUAGAGCGAUCGAUAACCGAUUAGCUAGUUGGUGAGGUAAAGGCUUACCAAGGCGAUG